GAAGUGCCCUUUUUUUACACUGGAAAAUUGGAUGCACAAGUUAGACCAUACCUCAUGGAAGAUGUAUGUUACCAUUUCUUUUGGAUUAUGACAGCUGCUGAGGACUUUGCCAUGCUUAGAAGAUAAAGGAGUAUAUUAAGCACAAGACUUCGAUGUUGUAUCUGUGUAGCUGCUACUUUUACAGUAUGUUUAGUGCUGGCUCAUGUCCAUGUUACAAAUGCAAAGAAAAACUUCUUAUUCUGCCAUGUUUUUCAGGGCUUGUUCUAAUAGAAUACAUACAUGUAAAAAUAUAAGGAGCCCUUUUCAGAUAGCCUGUAAAGGUUUGGAUUCGCUUCCGUAUUUCAGGCCAAAAGGUAGUUCGUGUAAUCUCUACACCAACGGUACAAGCCAUGCUGUAUAAACAGCUGGCUGGCUAGACCUUUCUUAUCUUGUGUAUAUUGUCUUAAGACAAUGUGUUAAUUCCUCUGAUUGUUUCCCAAGUCAUCACUAUCACUAUGCCACAAGCAAGGGCAUUAGCUUUAAGAACCUUAAGGUUCUGUAUUCCUCUUUACAUUAUAUGUAUUGCAACAUUUUCAAAGCAAUGACUAAGUCACUGGGAUAGCUUUAGAAAAAGUGGCAGUGCUCUCAACCUGUGGUCUUUGGGCUUCUCCUCUGAGAGGGCCUCUGCCAGCAGCUGCAGAUCCAAGCACUCUUGUGAACCAGGUAAUAAAGACAUCAGUAAGACUUGGGGAAGGAACUUGUGGCCAAAAGAGGGAUGGUCUUAUAUGCAGCAGGCUGAAAACCUCUAAGACAGCAUAAACUGAGGCAUUUAUUAACUUAUUUUCUUAAUUUUAAGCAGGCAACUAGAUACAAGUAAGGUCAUUCAUCAAUAUGCAAUUUUAAGUAAAUUAGUUAAAUGUCAAAUGUAAUAUUUGUAACUUCUGCAAAUCAUGUAACUCUUGCGUAUGUUUACCACCAGAUCAUCACCUGCUGGAUCAGGUUGAUUCCCACUAUAGCACUGGUAGCUGCAGGGUUUUUUGACCAUCAGAUACUGAAUGAUGAGUCACUUCUUACACCAACUAAAUUCUGUUGCUCCCUGCCCACAAGAAGAUGCAUUCUAAAAAAGGCACUUAUUCUAGUUCUAAGCUCUGCUUUUCCAAAUAUAGACAAAUACCAAAUGAGAAGUUCCUACAGUCUGACCAUCCAGUUCAGGAGUAUGUGACAGUUCCCCUGCUGUGCUUAAGUAUGGAAGGCAAAUUCUGAGACUGGACCAGAAAAGUAGAUAAAAUACUUGCUUCGCUGUAAGCAAAGUGUAAUAGAGAAAGCUGUCCUACAGACUCUUAAACACAGAACAUGGCACGUGCCUUUCUGAAUGGAAACUUCAAUAACUUCAGUUUUUGGAGUCUGCAUCAUCGGUUUUCACAGCCUAGAGCUGGGUUUCCAAAAGAUGUGCUUACUCCAUCAAAAAAGGUGAAGGAAAGUGCCCCUUGGUUUUGUCCCUGUACUUCACCCUCCUCUUUCCAGACUCUCUGCCCCCAAGCUGUUGGUUGAGUCCCAGCAGCAAGGAGGGGAGAUUAUGGUAAAGAUUAAAUCCACCCAAGAAGACAUAGGAAUUUCUCCAGCAGGGAGAGCUCCUCAGAGCACAGCUGGCUGGGAAGGUUCAGCCUUCUGUUUGCAUCCAGCUAAAACCUUUGCAUAGGCCUCUCUCAUUUUAUUCCUGAUUCACUCAAUGAAAACUUCCAUAACACGUAUAAGAAACAGUCCAUUAAGAUUUCUGGAUAAAGACACACAGACAGAAAAGUGCCAUUUUCUUCAGCAUAUCCAAGGUUUCAUAAAGCCAGAGCAGAGGAAUCAUUUCCAGUCUUAAAUUCGUUACCGGGUAGCCAGGGAAGCCAUUACCUUAUAAAUUAUUUAUUACUCUGUGGCUCCAAAAAUAACAAACUCCCCCAAUAAUCCAAAAUUAGAAUGUAGAAACACGUAUGCUCAUGCCUACUUUCAUUACUAGGCUCAUGCACAACUUUGUUUCAUAUAAAUACUAUGUAUAAUUUUAUUAGAAAGAAAUACUAUUUUGAUGUUAAGACAUCAAGUUAUAAGCAGAAGAAUAAUAAAAGAGUUUGUUAUUUUAUUAAUAUUAGAAAUAUAUUUAAUGGAAACAUUUGCAAGAGUGUGUAGUGAUGGGAAAAUGCUGAUUGUUAAUGAGUUUAACAAAAUUGUAAAGUUUGGAAAAUGUUUUCUUUCAACACUGUGUCAAAUACAUGCAGGAUUAAUCUUUCUUGCAAUGUGGGGAUACUGACACAGGAUUCACAUGCUAAAUCAGGAAAAGGAGAGGAAAACUGAUUGUAAAUGGAAUUAAGGUAAUGCCUGGAGUUAUUGGUGGCAUCACAGCUUGAGUAACCUUUUUCCUAGAAGUAUUUCAGAGUUAAUACACUAAGCCCCAGAGAAGCAACAAAAGGUGGGGGUGGGGGCCCAAGAAUUUGUUAAUGUCACUUAAAAUCCAUAUGUUCGUUCCUAUUACACAUUCCAGUAACUAUACUGUUCACUUUAUUUAUAUAAGUAUAUGAAAUACUAAAAUGUGUAUAAAAUGACUGUGAUUUUAUGCUGUAUUCAUAAUAACAAAGAUAUUUUUUCUUA
ensembl:lncRNA